rnacentral:lncRNA from 1 species
CAACACUGGGAUGAUUAUGUUCAUACAUACACCAUUGUGCACUUUGCUUUCUUUUUUUUCCUUGGGAUAAAAGGGACUUAAGCAAUCAAAGUUAUGCACAUUUGAAAUAUCAGUAACUAUUGUCAUUUUCCCUGAGAAUUGGAAAUCUUGGAAUGAAGAAUCAGCCCCAACACUUAGGCUCAGCACCCCCAAACCAGAAUUUCCCAUUACAAGGGGCCUUACACUUCUCAACGCACCUUCAUACUGAGCUUUUUGGAUUCUCACAGAGGUUUUUUUUAAGAGGUUAGGAUUUGGCCAUAGCAAAUUUAACCUAUUUAAGGAACUCCAAGAAGUUAGGUUGACUUGCGUAAAACAAGAUCAGGCACACCACCAUGCUUGCCUUUUCCAUCCCACCAGCUACUGUGAAGGACAGCUAAACACUAUCUUGGACUAGUCAUAUUCAUUUAUACCUAUUUGGUUAGAUCAGAAAACCCCAGUGAGACAGACGUGCAUAUUUUCCCAUCAUAAAUUUUCUCUUUCAUCCAGCAAACAUUUAUGGAGUCCUGGACCCGUUCCAUCCCCAGUGGAAUUAUCCUUAAUAAAUAAAGAUGAAACCGAAUUUUUUAUUUAAAUAAAAACAGAAAUUUUUCAAUCAGCAGACACUGAAGGAUAUUCUAAAGGUCAGAAGGCCUUUGACUCUGCACGUGAAGAAAUAGAUCUAUCUUAUUCUUAAGUAAGUUAAGGACAUACAUCACAAGUGCUAGGACAAUCACUAAAAUCAUUUAAAAAGAGUAUAUAGAUUCUGUGAUGGUUUAAAUUGUGAUCUGCCCACCAAGGAUGUUGAAAUCCUAGUAUGUGUCAAUGCCAACUUUAUUUGGAAACAGGGUCUUUGCAAAUGAUUGAGUUAAGGUGGCAUCAUCAAGUCGAAUGUGUCCCUAUAAAAAUGGGAAAUUUGGGCACAGACAUGCACAGAGGGAAGAUAUGAGGACACAUGGAUUAUGCCAUGUAAAAACAGGAGUGGAGUGAUGCAGUUCAAACGAAGCAAUGCCAAAGCCUGCUGGCGAACCAUCACCACCAGAAGCCAGAAAAUGGCAAGGGAGAGUGUGCUCACGGGUUCAAAGGGAGCCUGGCCCUCUGACAUUUCGAUUUUCUUCUUUUAACCUCCAUCACUGUGAGACAAUACAUUUCGGUUGUUUUAAGCAUCCAUUUUUCUAAUACUUUGUUAUAGCAGUCUGUUGAGAGCCACAGUUUAGUCGCAAUGAUGCCUGGCAUUUUGCUAGAGAGAAUGGUUGAAAGGUGACCCUGCUCCGGGAUUAGGGCGGCUCAAGGAUUACGGCAGAUCCUGGGGGUGGGGGAAUAGG